UGACGCAAUUCAACCAAGCGCGGGUAAACGGCGGGAGUAACUAUGACUCUCUAAAUAGCAAUAUUUACCUUUGGAGGGAAAAGUUAUCAGGCAUGCACCUGGUAGCUAGUCUUUAAACCAAUAGAUUGCAUCGGUUUAAAAGGCAAGACCGUCAAAUUGCGGGAAAGGGGUCAACAGCCGUUCAGUACCAAGUCUCAGGGGAAACUUUGAGAUGGCCUUGCAAAGGGUAUGGUAAUAAGCUGACGGACAUGGUCCUAACCACGCAGCCAAGUCCUAAGUCAACAGAUCUUCUGUUGAUAUGGAUGCAGUUCACAGACUAAAUGUCGGUCGGGGAAGAUGUAUUCUUCUCAUAAGAUAUAGUCGGACCUCUCCUUAAUGGGAGCUAGCGGAUGAAGUGAUGCAACACUGGAGCCGCUGGGAACUAAUUUGUAUGCGAAAGUAUAUUGAUUAGUUUUGGAGUACUCGUAAGGUAGCCAAAUGCCUCGUCAUCUAAUUAGUGACGCGCA
rnacentral:ncRNA from 16 species